CACGUAGGGCGCAAGCGUUGUCCGGAAUUAUUGGGCGUAAAGAGCUCGUAGGCGGUUUGUCGCGUCUGCUGUGAAAACCCGAGGCUCAACCUCGGGCCUGCAGUGGGUACGGGCAGACUAGAGUGCGGUAGGGGAGAUUGGAAUUCCUGGUGUAGCGGUGGAAUGCGCAGAUAUCGAGGAGACACCAAGUGGCGAAGGCAGAUCUCUGGGCCGUAACUGACGCUGAGGAGCGAAAGCAUGGGGAGCGAACAGG
rnacentral:rRNA from 1 species